GCCAACAAAAAAAACUCCAAAGCUCCUCCCCUCUUCCCUCUCUUAUCCCUUCUCCUCUUCCUCCAUGGCCGCCCUAAUCUCACCUCCGUCAACUUCUUUCUCCCCCAACCUCUCGUUGCUCCACAGGACCACCACACCGCCCCCAUCUUCAUUCUCCUUGCACUCUCCCUUCUCCUUCUCCCGUCUCUUCACCCUCUCUCCCCCCAAAAGAACUGCAUUCAGAGCUUCAGCAGUUGCAGAGCAAGAGAAGGCAUUGACCCCUGAAGAGGGAUAUAAGAAGGAGUUGGCGAAGCCCUGCGAGCUCUAUGUCUGUAAUCUCCCCAGGAGUUGCGAUAUCUCUGAGCUUUUGGAUCUCUUCAAGCCUUAUGGAACUGUUCAUUCGGUUGAGAUUUCCCGGGAUUCUGAAACAGGUGUUAGUCGGGGAUGUGGUUAUGUUACUAUGAAUUCAGUUCCUGAAGCCAGAUCUGCAAUUACAGCUCUAGAUGGAUCAGAUCUUGGUGGUCGUGAGAUUCGUGUUAAGUUUUCAGCUGACAUGGUUCCUGGAAGAAAAAAUACUGAGGCGCUGACUUCAGCACCCAAAUUGGGCAUUAUCUUUGAAAGCCAACAUAAAGCUUAUGUUGGUAAUCUUGCAUGGGCUGUUAGACCUGAAGAUUUGAGGGAACACUUUACCCAGUUUGGGACUGUCGUCAGUGCUAGGGUGCUCUAUGAUAGAAAAGGAGGAAGAAAUCGUGUCUAUGGAUUCAUUUCCUUCUCUUCUGCUGAGGAACUUAGGGCUGCAAUUGGAGCAAAUGGAUCGAAUUUUCGUGGACGCGAAUUAUUAGUGAGGGAGGUUACUAAUCGGGAGUGAUGCAAGGUGCUACUUGAAAUAUUUAAUAUUAUUGGGUUCCUUAUCAGAAAACCAUUUUUCUGGUCUGGAGAUUAUACUUUUACUGCAUUCUCCUGAAGAUGUUUUUGUUUAAAUGGGAUUAUAGAAAUUUUGUGAAGCUUAUGGUUAUGGCAGAUUAAUUGUCUAAAUCCUUUCCAAUAACCAUAUGAAUAUUUAAUGUAAUAAUCUUCUAGAGUUCUUUUUCUUUGUUUUAUUUUAUUUUAUUUUAUUUUUUUAUGUAGAUCCGUAAACAUUUCUAACUUGAGAGGCAGCAAGGAGAGUUGUUUGGCGAGCUUCUUGAUAUAAUUUCAUCAAGUAUUUUUGAAUCGUUGAAUAUACUUGUUAUAAAAGUGUCCAUCUUAGUAAGGAGAUUGAAGGCUUCA